rnacentral:misc_RNA from 1 species
AGCCACGAAAGCUUUGUCGCUGAUUGGUUACUCGGACGGCGUUCUUGCGCAGAACACUACUGAGUGGUUCCACAACGUCAUAACUGUUUCGUUCGCUAUGAACCGGCAACCUAUUCCGCUGCAAAUUCAUUACCAACGAAGUGAUCGCUUUUAGUUCAAAGCCACCCUGCGAAGAAUAAACACAUGGAUUUCGUCGUCUCGUCAUAAGUUGAAAUACAAGUGAAAAUAUUUGUGAUAUUUAGUUUUAGUGUGCCAAAAUAAAAAUGGAUGACGACCAACAAUUUUGUUUACGGUGGAACAACCAUCAAUCGACAUUGGUAGCCGUUUUUGACACGUUAUUGGAGAACGGCACAUUAGUAGACUGUACUUUGGCAGCAGAAGGAAAAUGCCUAAACGCACACAAAGUAGUUUUGUCUGCAUGUAGUCCAUACUUCGAGGCGCUGCUGUCAAAGCACUUUGACAAGCAUCCCAUUCUUAUUCUUAAGGACGUUAAGUUCCAAGAACUAAAAGCCAUGAUGGACUAUAUGUACAGGGGGGAAGUGAACAUAUCUCAAGAUCAAUUAGGCGCGCUUUUAAAAGCCGCUGAAUCUUUGCAAAUUAAGGGUUUAUCAGACAAUAGGAAAGGGGAAACUGAACGAAAACCCACUCCUGCUCCUCCACCAAAGAGCCCACAGCCAACGACCCUGCCGAAGGUCCAGGGUUUGACAAUUGAGCAAAGAGCUCGGGAGGAUUCCAGGGAGGGAAGCAUGUCACCAGGGCCUCGAAAAAAGAAAAGGUUAAGGCGGAAAAGUGAGGAAUUAGACAACCACGAUGCCUCUAAUUCUUCAGAAUCUCACAGUCUACCCGCCCAAAGCAUUCCUACGUUACCUGCUAUUUCAAAAAUGAACAUGAACGCCGAUGUGCCUGAACAAAUAGAAACUAAAUCAGAGAUACUCACAAGGCAUAAACAGACAGAUGACAUGCCCCAAGUUCCUAUUAUAAAAGAAAAGAUUGAAACCCACACAGAACUGAUGUUGGAACCAAAGUCUGAAUAUGUAGAAGAAAUGAAUGAAGAUAGUAUUGAGGAUUUGACACUGGAUGAUGACGAUUUAAGUAAUAUGGAACAGGUAGAUGAUCAAGCAGGACCUAGUCAUGGAGCAGGAGAAGGAUCAAGUCAAGGUUUUGGAGGUUGGCAUAUGGGUAACCAAAGUCAAGAUGAAGUAUUUCUGGCCGCGCAAGAGGCCGUAGGUGCACAUCGAGACUCACAAGCUCGAAAGUUGAAAGACGAAGAAAAGAUGCAGUGCCCACAAUGCUUCAAGUUCUACAAUGGUUCUCACUCUCUCUACGUACAUCGAAGCCGUGAUUGCGGCAAAGCUAAAAAAUUUGUUUGUGUCGUCUGUGGCUUCAGCUUUAAAAGAAACGAACACUUAAAAAGACAUUUGACAAACAAACAUGGCAUGUUUAAAGAUAUUGAUUUACAGAUUUUAAGUUAAUGUUGUUCACUUUUACCUCCAAAACAAACAUCUAUUGAUUACACUCCGACCGAUAUAGGAAUAGACGUGAGCUGUGCGCAAACCAGAGAAGGGAUGCAGAAUUCAUUUGUGGCUUAAAUUACAGAGUUGCCACGGAUCUUACAAAUAUUUACUGAGAUUUCAUUUUAAAUGUUGUGUAUACUUGCCAUCAAGUUAUUUUAGAAACAUUAAUCUUAAGCUUAUUACAAAGUCAUUUGAAUGGUGUGGUUAAGUUUGCGGCACAGGUAGAAAUUAAUGACAUGAAGAGAAGUAUUCAUAAUUCACAAAUGUGGUCUAGAGGUAACAAAGUACCUACUAGACUCUAAGAAUGUACCACAAAAAAUGUUUUAAUAAAAAGUUCAGUCUUGCAAAAGGACGCGUUUCGGCCCAACUCGAGCAACCAUCAGCUAAUAAGGCCCGGCGCAAAUUGAACCUAAGCGAGACGCAACCUGCGCCGGCGGAACGGGUGACCCGUGCAUUUAUUUUUCUAGCGCGCCGCAUAUUGAACACAACCCAACCCAACCGUUGGCUAUCGACGUGGCGAAUAGAGACGGGCAAAAUCAGUGCGGACCUGUAACGGUUACUUUUGAUACCGGUUCUCAGUGGUACUGAGUACAAAUACUAAUUACAAAAUACUGAUGUAUCUGAUCCUCGUACUGAAUUGAGUAGGCAACUUAAAAUCGGCAUUUCCGUACUUGUAACUAAUAACGUUUUAAAAAUAUCUUAACACGUCCCUAGUAGUCGUAGCGGUAUGACUUUCUAAAACAUCGAAUUUUAUCAUAAGCGGGUGCCUAAAAAGAUAUCUUACACUGAGUAUUUUAUUUCUGCACAUAAUACCUACAUAUGUAUUUAAAAUAAUCUCUCCCCUACUACUGGGUCAUAUCUCAUAUUCCUCAAUGUACUGCUCGGAUCACAAUCAUUUACAAUUACUGCAGGAUCGCAAUCAUUUACAAUUACUGAAGGUCAUAAUUCAUAAUCCCUCCGCUACUGAUCGGUCAUAAAAAUUUCGUUUUUAAUUUUUAAGCAUAAACAAAAAUGCAUAUGUAAUAACAAAAAUGUAAUAUGCCGACAAGUUGAAUUUUAGGGUAAUACGAUAUUUUUAUCAAUCACGGUUUUAAGUAACAUGAAUUAUUUUUCACCUUAUUUUUCUAAUAAUGAGGUUUUGUAAAGGCAUUACUUUGAUUAUUAAUUUCGUAUCGCAGCUUAUUUAGUAUACCAAAAGUUUCAGAAUUUAAUGACAAAAACAACGCAGUUUUCACUCGGGGUGUUCACUAUGUUAAUAUUUUUAUUUAUCAUAAUAAAUUGUACUUAGGAACCAUCCGUAUUCAUUUCAGAUACGUCCAUCUCGCAAACAAAAACAAGUAAAAAUAAACAUCUGGCGGUGAGUCACGCGUCCCACCGCCCAAGAAAACUGUACGCCGAUGACAAAUGUUUCCACUGUUGCCAGAUGAAAAUUUCUCGUAACAGUAGAAUAGGACAUAAAAAACAGGAGAAAACAGGAGAUUUUAAUAAUUUCAAAUAAAACAAUAAAAUGUAGUUAAAUUGAACAAAAUAACUAUCUUAUGGCUAUUUUUCAAGGCCAAUAAUUAAGUAAUUAAUUAUUUAAUUAAUUAAGCAGUAAUUAAUAGAAGUGAAGCAAGACAGUCCAUGACUAGUUUCUGACUGAUUCGCAUGCGCAGUUCCGUUUUCAAGCGCUUGAAAACGGAACUGCGCACGCGAAUCGGUCAGAAACCAGUGAUGGACUGUCUCCACGAAAAAAGUUUAAAUACAGGUUUCACAAAUGUUUAAACUUGUUGUCUGAUAACGCUAGAUAGUCUCUCAAAUUUAAUACCAACAUACCAUAUUCUAGUGGAAAAUAUAACAGAAGAUUUGAGAUUGAAAACAGGAGAACAGGAGAAGAAGUAUGAAAACAGUAGAUCUCCUGCUAAAACAGGAGAUCUGGUAACACUGAAUGUUCCCAAGCGAGACCUGCGAACGAAUGCACUGAUAGUAGGAUGCGCAAAACUGUCUACGCAGUUAGCCGGUGCAGGUGGUGUCUCGCUUAGGUUCAAUUUGCGCCGGGCCUGAGCCUUGCUGUUGGGUCAGUUCUAUGUUGUGUUCCUGUAUUAUUAGCUGAUGAUGGCUCGUGUUGAGCCGAAACACGUCCUUUUAUUCUGACUUUCUGACUUGUCAUCAAUGUUUUAAAAAGUACAAAA